rnacentral:rRNA from 1 species
UAAAAAUUAUAAAAUUAAGUAGUAAAGAAUUUUCCGAAACUUAAAGAAUUUGGCGGUAUUUUAAAUAAUUGGAGGAACCUGUUAUUUAAUUGACAUUACACAUCUCAUCUUUCCUAACUUUUGUUUGUAUAUCGUUGUUUUCAGAUAAUAUUUAAAAAUUAUUAUCAAGAAUAAUUUAUUUUUAUAAAUCAAAUCAAGGUGCAGCAUACUUAGGUAUUAAUGGGUUACAAUAUAUGUUAUAUAUUACGAAUAAAUUUUGAAAUAAUAGUGAAGGUGGAUUCAAAAGUAAUUUGAAAUUAUAAUGUUCAUAUGAUUUAUAAUUUAAAAUAUGC